rnacentral:lncRNA from 1 species
GUCACGGGAGCGCUGAUGGAGCCGCCCCCGUGCAUGUAGUGGUGCACGAACUUUGAUGAGGAGGGCGAAGAAGUCGAGGACGAGAGGUUUCGGAGCCAUGGAAUGAGAGAGUUGCCAUCGGCAGGGAUGGGACUGUAGGAAGUGCAGGGGCUUUGUUGGUAAGGUGAGCAUGCACUACCUGAAGCUGCUGAUAUGGAACCCUUCAUGAAAUCCAUGCUGUCUACCGGUUUGCAUCCCUAUCAGAAAACAAUUCAUUUCAACAAAAAUCAUCAACAAAUAUACUCCCUCCGUCCCGCCCAAGAUGCUACAUAUUCCUUUUUGGGCCGUCCCAACGAAGAUGCUACAUCUCUAUAUUUGGCAAAAAAUAGGAAUUUUAAACACUUAAUUAACACUAAUUAAGUAUUUCUUUAUUACCUUCUCUCUCCUACUUUAUCACUUUUUACCUUCUCUUUCUUACUUUAUCACUUUAUUACUUUCUCUCUCCUACUUUAUCACUUUAUAAUUACACACUUAAAACAUUAAUCUACAACUCCUUAAAUCCCGUGCCGAAGAGCAAAUGUAGCGUCUUGGCCGGGACGGAGGGAGUAUUAAUUAAGAAGAUUUUCUUAAAUUUAUAACAAANAACAUUUUACAAAGGUCCUUGCUCCUUUAAAGCUAGUGACAUAUUUAAAUCUUUUGUCAAGUUCUAAUCAAACAUGACCAAGUUAUAACUAUUAGUCGAUGAUUAUCAUGUUUUGAUGUUAUGGCCGUUUAGACUGACUGAUACUAAUAUUGUCUGUAUGGUAAUUUGUUGCACUUGCAGGUGCAUAUGUUGGUUGCUCUCUUGGUGGAAAUAUGGUUAAAACGCGAAAUCAAGAAAAUUGAAGUUUUACGGUAACCCAUCCAUCUCAGCAUCCGAGAUUCUUUGUGGUUCGAUGCCACGGCCUCCUGCUGCUUCUGCAUUAUAUCAGGCAUUAUCAGAAUUAUACGACAAACACAAUUGAAGUCGAUAUCCAGCUAUCAUCCCCUUCAAUCCAACUGCGUAUAUACAUCAUUGCCAUUUCAAUUUGAAUCUUUCAAAUUCUUUAAUGCACUUGUACAGGGAAAAGAACAAGUGCAAGUUGCAUAAUGUAAGUAUUUGCAUUAUUUGAAUCUUCAACAUUUAUGUUGGCGUUCAUUGUUUUGAUAUUGGUAAACGUAAGAUGAAUAGGGCAAUCUUGAUAUUUGAAGUAUAUUUAUCACAGCGAAACAGCAUCAAGAUAAACUGACUAUUCAUGACUUGCACUAGUAAUAUAUAAAUAAACUUGACUUAUCAGCAUUUUGCAGAAUCAAAUUUCUCGGCAAACUAUGAUGCUAUUGAAAUUCCCCUCCCUCCACAUAACAGUCUUGCUUCUACUUGAACCAUAAUUUAUCUGCGUGAUAAUACAACAAAUUAAACUCCUUAAUGUUCUUUCAAUUUUUCAACAAAUGGAGUCAUGGUGAUCUACCUGGCUUUCGAGCUCCCAAGUGUGAGUUCAAGUUCAUCCGGACCGCACUCUUCGUGUAUCGUCUCUCCUUCCCAAGGCUUCACGAGACUCGUCGUGCUGCUGCUUCCAAACACAAACUCAUUUGGAAUCACCUGAGCCAUGGGGAUAUCAGCAGCACCCGCGACAGCAGGGGAGCACGUCCCGCUCCGCCCGGGUGUGCACAUGAGAGAUCCAUUCCGCGUCAGAUCCUCCACUCUGAACCCGAAUGGGUUCGAGGAAACGAGGCUGAACGUCGGAGAAGUCGUCCCACUCUGGCUAACAUGAGUCCCCGGGUACCACAUCUGGCGCCCGGGGCUCGGCGGCGUGGACAGCGGAAGCAACGGGUGCUGGGAUCCAAGGCGAGCAAACGAACCUCCCCAAUCAGCGGUGACCCGUGGGGUUCCGGGAGUCGGGGAGCUCGAGGGAGGGGUCACGGGAGCGCUGAUGGAGCCGCCCCCGUGCAUGUAGUGGUGCACGAACUUUGAUGAGGAGGCCGAAGAAGUCGAGGACGAGAGGUUUCGGAGCCAUGGAAUGAGAGAGUUGCCAUCGGCAGGGAUGGGACUGUAGGAAGUGCAGGGGCUUUGUUGGUAAGGUGAGCAUGCACUACCUGAAGCUGCUGAUAUGGAACCCUUCAUGAAAUCCAUGCUGUCUACCGGUUUGCAUCCCUAUCAGAAAACAAUUCAUUUCAACAAAAAUCAUCAACAAAUAUAUUAAUCAGUAGAUAUAGCCAUAAUAAAUUUAUAAUAAAAUGACAUGUACAUUUGAAAAUAUCUCAUAAAACAUACUCCCUCCGUCCACCAAAAAUAUGCCACAAUUUCCUUUUUCGUCCGUCCACAAAAAAUAUGCCACUUCCAUUUUUAGUAGUAGGGUCCACACAACUCCACUCACAUUUAAAGUGGGACCCUUACUCCACUACCAACUUUACUCACAUUCAUAGAUAUAGCCAUAAAAAAUGCAUGUACAUUUAUCAUACUAUCACAUUAGUCUGCCUAUAUAAUUCUAGACAUAUUUCCAUCUGAAACAUGGUUUCCAACCCCACAAUUAUUUUGCCAGAACUGCAAAAAAUGUUUUGGACUUUUUUGCCUGUUUGCUUUGAUGAACCAAAAUUUGAUUCUGUGGGGGCAAAACAGUCUUUUAGCAAAACCCAAAGCAAUAAUGUAUAGUUUAGGCUGGAGAUCCCAAGAGAUCUUUUGACAAUUUCCAGGGGCAUCCUUGUCUUCUCAAAAAUCCCAAAUCCCAAUGAUCUCCAACACCAUGUCCCUCAACUUCUCUUCUUUUCACAGUAUUCAUCAUAUUUUACUUUUAUCACAGAAUAGAAUAUAAUUUGAUGCUGCAAAUAUCAUGGUCAACAAAGGGAGGAAAAGCAAGCGAGCACGAGAUCAUCCAAUAUUCAGAUUUCUUUUCCAAACUUGUAAAACAAAUUAUGAGCUGAUUAUCAACUUCAAUACAUUGUGAAAUUGAUCGAAAAUUGAUGGAAAAUCGUGCGAGUGAGAUAAUGACCUUGCGAUAGGUGGUCCCGUCGGGCUCGACUGUCCAGCCGGCCUCGUGGCAGAGAGCUUUGAGCACCUCAUUGUUGUCGCAGUGCUUGGGGAGCGUGUAGUUCCCGUAGAGGCGGAGGCCGGCGAAUAUCUUCGCCGCCAUGGCCCUCCGCCGCCGCUCCCGGCACUUGUUGUUCUCCCGCUCCUUCCACGACGGCAUCCGCGAUCCCCCGACCAUGAUUCUCU